rnacentral:rRNA from 1 species
AUUGAACGCUGGCGGUAGGCUUAACACAUGCAAGUCGUGCGAGAAAGUAUCUUCGGAUAUGAGUAGAGCGGCGGACGGGUGAGUAACGCGUAGGAAUCUACCUAGUAGAAGGGGAUAGCCCGAGGAAACUCGGAUUAAUACCGUAUACCUCCUUAGGGAGAAAGAGGGCCUCUCUUGAUGCUCUCGCUAUUAGAUGAGCCUGCGUAAGAUUAGCUUGUUGGUGAGGUAAUGGCUCACCAAGGCUACGAUCUUUAGCUGGUCUGAGAGGACGAUCAGCCACAUUGGGACUGAGACACGGCCCAGACUCCUACGGGAGGCAGCAGUGGGGAAUAUUGGACAAUGGGCGCAAGCCUGAUCCAGCCAUACCGCGUGUGUGAAGAAGGCUCUAGGGUUGUAAAGCACUUUAAGCAGGGAGAAAAAGUUAUAAGUUAAUACCUUAUAACCCUGAUGUUACCUGCAGAAUAAGCACCGGCUAAUUCCGUGCCAGCAGCCGCGGUAAUACGGAAGGUGCAAGCGUUAAUCGGAAUUACUGGGCGUAAAGCGCGCGUAGGUGGUUUGUUAAGUUGGAUGUGAAAGCCCUGGGCUCAACCUAGGAACUGCAUCCAAAACUAACUCACUAGAGUACGAUAGAGGGAGGUAGAAUUCAUAGUGUAGCGGUGGAAUGCGUAGAUAUUAUGAAGAAUACCAGUGGCGAAGGCGGCCUCCUGGAUCUGUACUGACACUGAGGUGCGAAAGCGUGGGUAGCGAACAGGAUUAGAUACCCUGGUAGUCCACGCCGUAAACGAUGACAACUAGCUGUUGGGAGACAAUGUCUUUCAGUGGCGCAGCUAACGUUUUAAGUUGUCCGCCUGGGGAGUACGGCCGCAAGGCUAAAACUCAAAUGAAUUGACGGGGACCCGCACAAGCGGUGGAGCAUGUGGUUUAAUUCGAUGCAACGCGAAAAACCUUACCUACUCUUGACAUACUUGGAAGCUCUUGUAAUGAG